UGGGCAACCUGCCCUCAGCUCUGGGACAACUCCGGGAAACCGGGGCUAAUACCGGAUACGACCUUCCCUCGCAUGGGGGUUGGUGGAAAGUUCUUCGGCUGAGGAUGGGCCCGCGGCCUAUCAGCUUGUUGGUGGGGUAACGGCCUACCAAGGCGACGACGGGUAGCUGGUCUGAGAGGACGGCCAGCCACACUGGGACUGAGACACGGCCCAGACUCCUACGGGAGGCA
rnacentral:rRNA from 1 species